rnacentral:rRNA from 1 species
AUUGAACGCUGGCGGCAUGCCUUACACAUGCAAGUCGAACGGCAGCACGGGAGCAAUCCUGGUGGCGAGUGGCGAACGGGUGAGUAAAGUAUCGGAACGUGCCCAGUCGUGGGGGAUAACGUAGCGAAAGUUACGCUAAUACCGCAUACGAUCUAUGGAUGAAAGCGGGGGAUCGCAAGACCUCGCGCGAUUGGAGCGGCCGAUAUCAGAUUAGGUAGUUGGUGGGUAAAGGGCCCACCAAGCCGACGAUCUGUAGCUGGUCUGAGAGGACGACCAGCCACACUGGGACUGAGACACGGCCCAGACUCCUACGGGAGGCAGCAGUGGGGAAUUUUGGACAAUGGGCGAAAGCCUGAUCCAGCCAUGCCGCGUGCAGGAUGAAGGC